rnacentral:sRNA from 1 species
GCUGGGCAUGGUGGCGCAUGCCUGUAAUCCCAGCAUCUUGGGAGGCUGAGGCAGGGGGAUUGCAAGUUCAAAGUCAGCCUCAGCAACUUAGCAAGGCCAUAAGCAACUUAGCAAGACCCUGUCUCUA